UACGUAGGGACCGAGCGUUGUCCGGAAUCAUUGGGCGUAAAGAGCGUGUAGGCGGCUAUUUAAGUCCUGCGUGAAAUCCUGCGGCUCAACCGCAGACGGUCGUGGGAAACUGGAUGGCUAGAGUGCGGCAGAGGGGGGUGGAAUUCCUGGUGUAGCAGUGAAAUGCGUAGAUAUCAGGAGGAACAUCGAUGGCGAAGGCGGCAUCCUGGACCGGCAUUGACGCUGAGGCGCGAAAGCCAGGGGAGCAAACGGG
rnacentral:rRNA from 1 species